GCGAAUACACUGGCGACGAGGAUGGGAUCAGGACGGCUUGUCACUUGCUUCUUCGAUUGCUGCUGAAGACGACUACCGCGGGGCCGGCGCUGCAAUGGCGAAGGAGUUCCAGGACUUCCUCGAUGCCUGAGGCAUCCGGCGCACGUACAGCCCGCCAUACCAUCCGGAAUCCAAUGGAGCUGCCGAGAGGAUGGUGCAAACCGUCAAGAGGAGCCUCCGCAAGCAGCUGUUGCACGACAAGGGAGGAAACGGCAGACCGCUGCGGGAGAGGCUGGACGACUUCUUGCUGGCAUAUCGGACAACACCUAGCACAGUAACAGGCAAGUGGCCAGCCGAACUGUUUCUGAAAUGAAUGCCGCGCACGAGACUGUCCUUGCUAAGGCCCUCAUUUCGCAAUGACAUGCAAAGCAAGCAAGAAGCAGUAAAGCGGCAGCAUGACCAACGAAGAUCGAGUUUCCGUUCAUUCAGGGCAGGGGACUGCGUAUACGUAAAUACUGUCAGGCCAGAGAAAGUGUCCUGGACUGAAGGGUGUGUGGUGCGGCCAGUUAGCCCUGUGACCUAUCUCGUAAAAACACAGAACACAGUCCGCCACGUUCAUGUUGACCAUUUACGCCCGCGCAGUUUCUAGCAUGCAGGAUCAAACGUGGGUGCGCAGGCCCCGAGAAGACACGGCACUGAGGACGUUGUGCGUCAUCGGGAGGCCCCAACCAUGCCCCAGCAGGCGUAUCAUGAAGCGGACACGGCAGCACCUCCCCCAGAGGAUGCAAUAAUGCCGGAACCACCACCACCAGACGGGCAGGAAUUGCCACUGCCUGCUCCCCACAAUGACCAUCCUCAGACGCAAGCCGAAGCGCCUUCCGACCCUCCACCAGUGCUGCGCCGAAGUCAGCGUGCCAGGAAACCACCAGACCGAUAUGGGUCUCACGAUGUCCGCCAGUGGAGAUAGUAAUGACGACGACGAUCUUAGGGGGGAGGAAUGUGAUGACGUAACGCCAAGUGCAUGCCGUGCCGCUUCAUCACGGGCACUGAUAUCAGCAGCGGAUAAGUAACCGCUGCCUAUAAAAAGCGUGUGCAAAAGAAUAAACGCUGCUUCCUUGUUC